UACGUAGGGUGCAAGCGUUAAUCGGAAUUACUGGGCGUAAAGCGUGCGCAGGCGGUUAUGCAAGACAGAUGUGAAAUCCCGGGCUUAACCUGGGAACCUGCAUUGUGACUGCAUAGCUGGAGUACGGCGAGAGGGGGAUGGAAUUCCGCGUGUAGCAGUGAAAUGCGUAGAUAUGCGGAGGAACACCGAUGGCGAAGGCAGUCCCCUGGGCCUGUACUGACGCUCAUGCGCGAAAGCGUGGGGAGCGAACAGGAUAG
rnacentral:rRNA from 1 species